UGGGGAAUAUUGCACAAUGGGCGCAAGCCUGAUGCAGCCAUGCCGCGUGUGUGAAGAAGGCCUUCGGUUGUAAAGCACUUUCAGCGAGGAGGAAGGUGGUGAGCUUAAUACGCUCAUCAAUUGACGUUACUCGCAGAAGAAGCACCGGCUAACUCCGUGCCAGCAGCCGCGGUAAUACGGAGGGUGCAAGCGUUAAUCGGAAUUACUGGGCGUAAAGCGCACGCAGGCGGUUUGUUAAGUCAGAUGUGAAAUCCCCGGGCUCAACCUGGGAACUGCAUUUGAAACUGGCAAGCUAGAGUCUCGUAGAGGGGGGUAGAAAUUCCAGGUGUAGCGGUGAAAUGCGUAGAGAUCUGGAGGAAUACCGGUGGCGAAGGC
rnacentral:rRNA from 1 species